AUUGAACGCUGGCGGCAGGCCUAACACAUGCAAGUCGAACGAGUGGCGGACGGGUGAGUAAUGUCUGGGAAACUGCCCGAUGGAGGGGGGUAACUACUGGAAACGGUAGCUAAUACCGCAUACCAUCGGAUGUGCCCAGAUGGGAUUAGCUAGUAGGUGGGGUAACGGCUCACCUAGGCGACGAUCCCUAGCUGGUCUGAGAGGAUGACCAGCCACCCUGGAGCUGAGACACGGUCCAGCCCCCUACGGGAGGCAGCAGUGGGGAAUAUUGCACAAUGGGCGCAAUCCUGAUGCACCCUGGCCGCGUGUAUGAAGAAGGCCUUCGGGUUGUAAAGUACUUUCAGCGAGGAGGCGUUACUCGCAGAAGAAGCACCGGCUACCUCCGUGCCAGCAGCCGCGUAAUAC
rnacentral:rRNA from 1 species